GGGUCAGUAGGUUGGUCGUGCCACCGGUACGUACUGGUCUCACUGAUUCCUCCUUCCUGAAGAACCGUAAUGCCGUUAAUUUGGUGUUGCGGGGAAACAAGACUGUUACUUUGAAAAAAUUAGAGUGUUUAAAGCAAGCUAACGCUUGAAUACAUUAGCAUGGAAUAAUGAAAUAGGACGAUCGAUCCUAUUUUGUUGGUUUCUAGGAUUGACGUA
rnacentral:rRNA from 1 species